rnacentral:rRNA from 1 species
GUGGGGAAUAUUGGACAAUGGGGGGAACCCUGAUCCAGCCAUGCCGCAUGUGUGAAGAAGGCCUUUUGGUUGUAAAGCACUUUAAGCGAGGAGGAGGCUACCGAGAUUAAUACUCUUGGAUAGUGGACGUUACUCGCAGAAUAAGCACCGGCUAACUCUGUGCCAGCAGCCGCGGUAAUACAGAGGGUGCAAGCGUUAAUCGGAUUUACUGGGCGUAAAGCGCGCGUAGGUGGCCAAUUAAGUCAAAUGUGAAAUCCCCGAGCUUAACUUGGGAAUUGCAUUCGAUACUGGUUGGCUAGAGUAUGGGAGAGGAUGGUAGAAUUCCAGGUGUAGCGGUGAAAUGCGUAGAGAUCUGGAGGAAUACCGAUGGCGAAGGCAGCCAUCUGGCCUAAUACUGACACUGAGGUGCGAAAGCAUGGGGAGCAAACAGGAUUAGAAACCCGAGUAGUCC